AGUGAACGCUGGCGGCGUGUUUAACACAUGCAAGUCGAACGAGAACGGGUUAUAGCUUGCUAUAAUUGUCAGCUAAGUGGCGCACGGGUGAGUAAUGUAUAGGUAAUAUGCCUCUUACUAAGGGAUAACAAAUGGAAACGUUUGCUAAUACCUUAUACUCCUUAUUAACAUAAGUUAAUAAGGGAAAGAUUUAUUGGUAAGAGAUUAGCCUGUAUUGUAUCAGUUAGUUGGUGGGGUAAUUGCUUACCAAGACUAUGACACUUAACUGGUUUAAGAGGAUGAUCAGUCACACUGGAACUGAGACACGGUCCAGACUCCUACGGGGGGCAGCAGUGGGGAAUAUUGCACAAUGGACGAAAGUCUGAUGCAGCAACGCCGCGUGGAGGAUGACACAUUUCGGUGCGUAAACUCCUUUUAUAUGAGAAGAUAAUGACGGUAUUAUAUGAAUAAGCACCGGCUAACUCCGUGCCAGCAGCCGCCGUAA
rnacentral:rRNA from 1 species